GUCGUAAUAAGGUUUCCGUAGGUGAACCUGCGG
rnacentral:rRNA from 1 species